CCUGGGGAGGAAAAGGAAAGAAAAAGAAACUGUUCAAUUACUUUUAAAGACUGAGACAGAUCAGUAUUCACCCUACAAAUGCACACACAUCUUAUAAAUAGUACUUUACCCUAAGGCACAUGGAGGACACUUGGGGGUCACCAAGUACUUAAAUGUAGUAUUUCUUCACAGGAAAAAUAGAAACACAUUACAUAUCAGUUGAUGCAGGGAUCAAGAGACAGCUGCAAUCAUGUUUUACAUUAUAAAUACAAAUCAUGAGUUUUGGGAUACAAAUAAAGUUGUUUACAGUUAAGAACUCCAUCGCUUAGGAAACUGUUAUUAACCUUCCUAUUCUUAUUAAAAGCGUUUCAAUCAUCUUUGAUCAGCUUGAUGCCUCACUCAGAAUAUGGCGUAUCUGAGCACAGUGGUUCUUUGGUCUCAAGCUGGGAUGUUCCUUGCACAGUGAUUCUAAGGGUGCAACAAUUCUCCAGAAGUCAAUGAACACAGGACCCAGGAAUUUCAGUUGAGAGUCUGAACAAGCUUAACAUUGUUUAGCUCACAAGUUAAGAAAAGAUCACUGUUAAAGUAACGAGCACAGUAUGAAAAUACACAUAGGCAGGAAAAACAGCAUGCCAAGCUAGAACUGAAA